UCUCUGCCUCAGUAAUGUACCUGUGUCUUUUACUUUCACUAAGUAUUAAUGUGAGGUAUUUCCUGGGGUGCAAGUCCCCAGUUGGUGUUGUCAGUAAUUUCAGUCCUCCCCUUUGUGUCCCUGGCCACACCAGUUUACUCCACUGUAUAUAAGUCUCCUUGUUUCCCUGUCAGUCAGUUUGUCUGUUCUGUGUCCAUCUGUAGUUAAGGCUGAGUCUGUAUCUGUGUACACGUUUGUUCCUGAGCUCGACUCUUCACCUGAGGUCCUGCCCGUGUGUGUGUGCUCCUGGUUUUGUCUCCUGUGUCUGAGCUUCCUGUUUCCAUUUGGACUUUCCUCUGCCUGCUUCACCCACCCCCAGGGUGGAUGUUUGGAACUAUUGUUGGACUGACUGAACUCUGUUCUGGACUAUUGUUGGUCUUUGGACUCUUUGGCAUGAUCAGCCUGUGGGUGCUGCAUUCCAUGUGAAGGAUCUCUGUGCAGGUUUUUAACAUCCUGUGGUUCACCUGCACUACUGCUGUUUUUGCCCCCAUGACUGUUUGCUGUGAGGUUGCUGUGACUUUGGUUUUUUGCUGCACCAAAGUUAAGGCUGAGUCUGUAUCUGUGUACACGUUUGUUCCUGAGCUCGACUCUUCACCUGAGGUCCUGCCCGUGUGUGUGUGCUCCUGGUUUUGUCUCCUGUGUCUGAGCUUCCUGUUUCCAUUUGGACUUUCCUCUGCCUGCUUCACCCAGUAAGAUUCCCUGAGUUUGUUUU